rnacentral:rRNA from 1 species
AACGAACGCUGGCGGCGUGGAUAAGACAUGCAAGUCGAACGGGACUUACUUAGCUUGCUUUGUAAGUUUAGUGGCGGACGGGUGAGUAACACGUGAGCAACCUGCCUAGAAGUAGGGGAUAGCUCGGGGAAACUCGAAUUAAUACCGUAUGUGAUCCUGUUUAGCAUUUAACAGGAAUUAAAGGUGCCUUCGGGUGCCGCUUCUAGAUGGGCUCGCGGCCUAUCAGCUUGAUGGUGAGGUAACGGCUCACCAUGGCAAUGACGGGUAGCUGGUCUGAGAGGACGACCAGUCACACUGGAACUGAGACACGGUCCAGACACCUACGGGUGGCAGCAGUCGAGAAUCAUUCGCAAUGGACGAAAGUCUGACGGUGCGACGCCGCGUGGAGGAUGACGGUCUUCGGAUUGUAAACUCCUGUCAUCGAAGAGUAAGGUCUAUGCAUUAAUAGUGUGUAGAAUUGAUAGUAUUCGAAGAGGAAGGGACGGCUAGCUUCGUGCCAGCAGCCGCGGUAAUACGAAGGUCCCAAGCGUUGUUCGGAAUCACUGGGCGUAAAGGGAGCGUAGGCGGUGAGGUAAGUCAGAUGUGAAAUUCCAGGGCUCAACCCUGGAACUGCAUCCGAUACUGCCUCACUAGAGUAGUGGAGGGGCAUCUGGAAUUCACGGUGUAGCAGUGAAAUGCGUAGAGAUCGUGAGGAACACUAGUGGCGAAGGCGAGAUGCUGGACACUUACUGACGCUGAGGCUCGAAGGCCAGGGUAGCGAAAGGGAUUAGAUACCCCUGUAGUCCUGGCAGUAAACGGUGCACGUUUGGUGUGAGAAGGUUCGACCCUUUUCGUGCCGGAGUUAACGCGUUAAACGUGCCGCCUGGGGAGUACGGUCGCAAGACUA